AGGUUAAGUUAAUAAGGGCGCACGGUGGAUGCCUUGGCACUAGAAGCCGAAGAAGGACGUGACAAACGACGAAAUGCUUUGGGGAGCUGUAAGUAAGCGACGAUCCAGAGAUGUCCGAAUGGGGGAACCCACUAGCUAAUGGCUAGUACUCCUAUCUGUUAAGGAUAGGUAGAGGAAGACGCAGUGAACUGAAACAUCUAAGUAGCUGCAGGAAGAGAAAGCAAAAGCGAUUGCCUGAGUAGCGGCGAGCGAAACGGCAGGAGGGCAAACCGAAGAGUUUACUCUUCGGGGUUGUAGGACUGCAAUGUGGACUUAAAGAAUAUAGAAGAAUGACAUGGGAAGGUCAGCCAAAGAGAGUAAGAGCCUCGUAUUCGAAAUAGUCUUUAUACCUAGCAGUAUCCUGAGUACGGCGGGACACGAGAAAUCCCGUCGGAAUCUGGGAGGACCAUCUCCCAACCCUAAAUACUCUCUAGUGACCGAUAGUGAACCAGUACCGUGAGGGAAAGGUGAAAAGCACCCCGGGAGGGGAGUGAAAUAGAACCUGAAACCGUGUGCCUACAACAAGUUCGAGCCCGUUAAUGGGUGAGAGCGUGCCUUUUGUAGAAUGAACCGGCGAGUUACGAUAUGAUGCGAGGUUAAGUUGAAGAGACGGAGCCGUAGGGAAACCGAGUCUGAAUAGGGCGUCUUAGUAUUAUGUCGUAGACCCGAAACCAUGUGACCUACCCAUGAGCAGGUUGAAGGUGAGGUAAAACUCACUGGAGGACCGAACCAGGGCACGUUGAAAAGUGCUUGGAUGACUUGUGGGUAGCGGAGAAAUUCCAAACGAACUUGGAGAUAGCUGGUUCUCUCCGAAAUAGCUUUAGGGCUAGCGUCGACAUUAAGAUUCUUGGAGGUAGAGCACUGUUUGGGUGAGGGGUCCAUCCCGGAUUACCAAUCUCAGAUAAACUCCGAAUGCCAAUGAAUUAUGGUCGGCAGUCAGACUGCGAGUGCUAAGAUCCGUAGUCGAAAGGGAAACAGCCCAGACCACCAGCUAAGGUCCCAAAAUAAUUGUUAAGUGGAAAAGGAUGUG
rnacentral:rRNA from 1 species